UGGGGAAUUUUGGACAAUGGGCGAAGCCUGAUCCAGCAAUGCCGCGUGUGUGAAGAAGGCCUUCGGGUUGUAAAGCACUUUUGUCCGGAAAGAAAUCCUUGGCUCUAAUACAGUCGGGGGAUGACGGUACCGGAAGAAUAAGCACCGGCUAACUACGUGCCAGCAGCCGCGGUAAUACGUAGGGUGCAAGCGUUAAUCGGAAUUACUGGGCGUAAAGCGUGCGCAGGCGGUUUGCUAAGACCGAUGUGAAAUCCCCGGGCUCAACCUGGGAACUGCAUUGGUGACUGGCAGGCUAGAGUAUGGCAGAGGGGGGUAGAAUUCCACGUGUAGCAGUGAAAUGCGUAGAGAUGUGGAGGAAUACCGAUGGCGAAGGCAGCCCCCUGGGCCAAUACUGACGCUCAUGCACGAAAGCGUGGGGAGCAAAACAGGAUUAGAUACCCUGGUAGUCCACGCCCUAAAACGAUGUCAACUAGUUGUUGGGGAUUCAUUUCCUUAGUAACGUAGCUAACGCGUGAAGUUGACCGCCUGGGGAGUAACGGUCGCAAGAUUAAAAACUUAAAUGAAUUG
rnacentral:rRNA from 1 species